GAUGAACGCUGGCGGCGUGCCUAAUACAUGCUAGUCGAGCGAACAGAUAAGGAGCUUGCUCCUUUGACGUUAGCGGCGGACGGGUGAGUAACACGUGGGUAACCUAUCUAUAAGACUGGAAUAACUCCGGGAAACCGGGGCUAAUGCCGGAUAACAUGUUGAACCGCAUGGUUCUACAGUGAAAGGCGGCUUUGCUGUCACUUAUAGAUGGACCCGCGCCGUAUUAGCUAGUUGGUGAGGUAACGGCUCACCAAGGCAACGAUACGUAGCCGACCUGAGAGGGUGAUCGGCCACACUGGAACUGAGACACGGUCCAGACUCCUACGGGAGGCAGCAGUAGGGAAUCUUCCGCAAUGGGCGAAAGCCUGACGGAGCAACGCCGCGUGAGUGAUGAAGGUCUUCGGAUCGUAAAACUCUGUUAUUAGGGAAGAACAAAUGCGUAAGUAACUGUGCGCGUCUUGACGGUACCUAAUCAGAAAGCCACGGCUAACUACGUG
rnacentral:rRNA from 1 species